AGGCUUAGAAGAACGUUUGUU
rnacentral:miRNA from 1 species